rnacentral:tRNA from 1 species
GGGCCGUUGGAACAACGGGAAGCUCACCCGGUUUCCAGCCGGGAGGUCGCGGGUUCGACUCCCGUACGGCCUG